GAUGAACGCUAGCGGCAGGCCUAACACAUGCAAGUCGAGGGGUAACAUAGAAAAGCUUGCUUUUCUGAUGACGACCGGCGCACGGGUGCGUAACGCGUAUACAACCUACCUUUUAGCGGGGAAUAGCCCAGGGAAACUUGGAUUAAUGCCCCAUAGUAUAUAGACUUCUCCUGAAGUUUAUAUUAAACAUUUAUGGCUAUUAGAUGGGUAUGCGUCCUAUUAGUUAGUUGGUAAGGUAACGGCUUACCAAGGCAGCGAUAGGUAGGGGUCCUGAGAGGGAGAUCCCCACACUGGUACUGAGACACGGACCAGACUCCUACGGGAGGCAGCAGUGAGGAAUAUUGGACAAUGGGCGAGAGCCUGAUCCAGCCAUGCCGCGUGCAGGAAGACUGCCCUAUGGGUUGUAAACUGCUUUUACAGAGGAAGAACCACCCCCACGUGUGGGGGGUUUGACGGUACUCUGCGAAUAAGGAUCGGCUAACUCCGUG
rnacentral:rRNA from 1 species